AGGGUACCUACGUCGCGCUAAGUGUUUUUUUUUUUUUCCUUUUUCUUUUCUUUUGGGGUUCUUGCAUUGCCUUUUUCUUUUGUGGUAUCCACUUGUGUAAAUGUUUUAAACUGACAAUCGAAUUAGUUCAUUGUAUUCAUAUAGGAUCAAGGAGUGUAGCUGUAAAAAAUCAUCAAAAUCGGAGUUAAAACUACCGUUAAAUCGUGAUUUUUCGUUUAUAACCGUCGAAAAGUUUUGUCCCGUUACUUGAUCUUUGAAUGUUUGUUUUUUGCGAUUUUUGGCGUACACAAUCUCGAAGCAUAUAAAAACAAGUUUGACAGUUGGAUCGUUGAAACUAGUUUCGUACAAUGCGUUUCCCAUCAAAACGAUACAUUCACUAACACUUAGAGUUUAUUUAUACUUUCAUUAAUUGUAACAGAAGAUUUGUGGUAUCCACUUGUGUAAAUAUUUUAAAUUGACGAUCGAAUCAAUUCCUUGUAUUCAUAUAGGAUCCAGGAGUGUAGCUGUAAAAAAUCAUCAAAAUCGGAGUUAAAAUAACCAUUAAAUCAUGAUUUUUCGUUUAUAACCGUCGAAAUUUUUUGUCCCGUUACUUGAUCUCUGAAGGUUUAUUUUUUGCGAUUUUUGGCGUAUGCGAUCUCAACACAUAUACAAACAGUUUGACGGUUGGAUCGUUGAAACUAGUUUCGUACAAUGCGUAUCCCAUUAAAACAAUAGACUCACUAACACUUGAGUUAAUUUAUACUUUCAUUAAGUAUAACAUAAGAUUUUGUGGUAUCCACUUGUGUAAAUGUUUUAAAUUGACGAUCGAAUUAGUUCAUUGUAUUCAUAUAGGGUCAAGGAGUGUAGCCGUAAAAAAUCAUCAAAAUCGGAGUUAAAACUACCGUUAAAUCGUGAUUUUUCAUUUAUAACCGUCGAAAAGUUUUGUCCCGUUACUUGAUCUUUGAAUGUUUGUUUUUUGCGAUUUUUGGCGUACACAAUCUCGAAGCAUAUAAAAACAAGUUUGACAGUUGGAUCGUUGAACUAGUUUCGUACAAUGCGUUUCCCAUCAAAACGAUACAUUCACUAACACUUAGAGUUUAUUUAUACUUUCAUUAAUUGUAACAGAAGAUUUGUGGUAUCCACUUGUGUAAAUAUUUUAAAUUGACGAUCGAAUCAAUUCCUUGUAUUCAUAUAGGAUCCAGGAGUGUAGCUGUAAAAAAUCAUCAAAAUCGGAGUUAAAAUAACCAUUAAAUCAUGAUUUUUCGUUUAUAACCGUCGAAAUUUUUUGUCCCGUUACUUGAUCUCUGAAGGUUUGUUUUUUGCGAUUUUAGGCGUAUGCGAUCUCAACACAUAUACAAACAGUUUGACGGUUGGAUCGUUGAAACUAGUUUCGUACAAUGCGUAUCCCAUUAAAACAAUAGACUCACUAACACUUGAGUUCAUUUAUACUUUCAUUAAGUAUAACAUAAGAUUUUGUGGUAUCCACUUGUGUAAAUGUUUUAAAUUGACGAUCGAAUUAGUUCAUUGUAUUCAUAUAGGGUCAAGGAGUGUAGCCGUAAAAAAUCAUCAAAAUCGGAGUUAAAACUACCGUUAAAUCGUGAUUUUUCGUUUAUAACCGUCGAAAAGUUUUGUCCCGUUACUUGAUCUUUGAAUGUUUGUUUUUUGCGAUUUUUGGCGUACACAAUCUCGAAGCAUAUAAAAACAAGUUUGACGGUUGGAUCGUUGAAACUAGUUUCGUACAAUGCGUUUCCCAUCAAAACGAUACAUUCACUAACACUUAGAGUUUAUUUAUACUUUCAUUAAUUGUAACAGAAGAUUUGUGGUAUCCACUUGUGUAAAUAUUUUAAAUUGACGAUCGAAUCAAUUCCUUGUAUUCAUAUAGGAUCCAGGAGUGUAGCUGUAAAAAAUCAUCAAAAUCGGAGUUAAAAUAACCGUUAAAUCAUGAUUUUUCGUUUAUAACCGUCGAAAUUUUUUGUCCCGUUACUUGAUCUUUGAAGGUUUGUUUUUUGCGAUUUUUGGCGUAUGCGAUCUCAACACAUAUACAAACAAGUUUGACGGUUGGAUCGUUGAAACUAGUUUCGUACAAUGCGUAUCCCAUUUUUGGCGUAUGCGAUCUCAACACAUAUACAAACAAGUUUGACGGUUGGAUCAUUGAAAUUAGUUUCGUACAAUGCGUAUCCCAUCGAUUUCAAUGGAUCAUUUAAAUUACAUUUUCAGUAUUUUUUUUUUAAAAUGCCUUCCCUCUCACUCAUCGCUUCUUUACAAUAUGAGUUUCUUUAUUUGUGGAUGGUCCAUCUUAACUUUUACUAGAGUAGUAUUUUAGCCGAGUAUAUAUUUUGCAUAGUUUAUUAACCCUCCAAAUCAGGAACAUUAAGCAGGAAAUUACAUUCAUUUUUCAUGAAAAGAAAAGGAACAUUAAGCAGGAAAUUACAAGAGGGAGCAUUCACAAAGGCUGCUUAGGAGAAGUCUCAAUAGUCGGCGGAACCUCAGCAGUCGGCGGAGCCCCAGAAGAAGGAGGCAGCGGAGGUUGAUCAUUUGGAGCUUCAGUACGCUGUGCAGCUCCAGAAGACGAAGGCAAAUGCUGUUGGAACAAACCCACAAACCUCCGAUGAUCAAGUAAAAUCUGACCAUCAGAUUCCUGCAUCUGAUCAAUUUUUCUCUUCAUAUUUGUGGCAUAGUUGUGUGCGAGCUUGUGCAACUGUUUAUUCUCAUGCUUGAGCCCUCUAAUCUCCUGUUUCAGACUCAUCACUUCAGCCG
rnacentral:lncRNA from 1 species